rnacentral:sRNA from 1 species
AAGUGUGCAAAUUAAACUUUUAACAUCUACGUGUAGGAAUCCCGUUCUGCUUCCAGAAGUGGAAGUGCUCACGGAUCGGGGAAAUCUGCAAGGCAUACCCCUGCAAGGUCUCGCUCCAAGGAAGAUUCCAGGCGUUCCAGAUCAAAGUCCAGGUCCCGAUCUGAAUCUAGGUCUAGAUCCAGAAGAAGCUCCCGAAGGCAUUAUACCCGGUCACGGUCUCGUUCCCGCUCCCAUAGACGAUCACGUAGCAGGUCUUACAGUCGAGAUUAUCGUAGACGGCACAGCCACAGCCAUUCUCCCAUGUCUACUCGCAGGCGUCAUGUUGGGAAUCGGGUAAGAUGAAAAACUGGUUUUGAAGCAGUGAACUGCCUAAAUUUACUUUUUCUUAAAGUUAGAGCUGAUUUCGACAAUAGAGCUUUAGCAGUGGGUGCGUGAGUGAAAUCUUCAGAGGCUUUUUUAGUGUUUUGAGAGAGUCUUUUAAGUUAAUCUUCCAUGACGGGGUCUGCAUUUGGGCUGCCUGUCAAUUAAGCAUAAUACUGACACAAUGGUGUAACUCCUUAGCCCAUC